GAUCAUGGCUCAGGAUGAACGCUAGCGACAGGCUUAACACAUGCAAGUCGAGGGGCAGCGGGGAGUAGCAAUACUUCGCCGGCGACCGGCGCACGGGUGAGUAACACGUGUGCAACCAACCCCGUACCGGGAGAUAACCCGCGGAAACGUGGACUAACAUCCCAUGAUACUCGAGAGCCGCAUGGCUCUCGAUUUAAAAUUCCGGUGGUACGGGACGGGCACGCGCGACAUUAGGUAGUUGGCGGGGUAAUGG
rnacentral:rRNA from 1 species